AACUUCCUGGUCAUUCUCCACCACUUCAUGUAUCCAAAUCAAGAUGCUUACAAAGUGAUUUUACCUGGUUUGAUUGGAACGACGAAGAAGUUGUCUUAUUCCCAAACUAUGAAACUGGAAUCACCGGAUUUGAAAGUGGGAUAACUUUUUCAUCCUAACUCCUAUAAGGUUUUUUCAACUUCCUGUUGAUUCUCCACCACUUUAUGUAUCCAAAUCAAGCUGCUUACAAAAUGAUGCAUCCUGGUUUGAUUGGAACGACGAAGAAGUUGUCUUAUUCCCAAACUGGGAAACUGGAAUCAACUGAUUUGAAAGUGGGAUAACUCUUUCUUCCCAACUCCUAUGAGAUUUAUUCAACUUCCUGGUGAUUCUACACCACUUUAUGUAUCCAAAUGAAGCUUCUUACAAAGUGAUUCAUCCUGGUUGAAUUGGAACGACGAAGAAGUUGUCGUAUUCCCAAAAUGGGAAACUGGAAUCACCUGAUAUGAAAGUAGGAUAACUUCUUCAUCCCAACUCCUAUGAGAUUUUUUCAACUUCCUGGUGCUUCUCCACCACUUUUGUAUCCGAAACAGGCUACUUACAAAGUGAUUCAUCCUGGUUUGAUUGGAACGACAAAGAAGUUGUCUUAUUCCUAAACUGGGAAACUGAAAUCACUUGAUUUGAAAGUGGGAUAACUUCUUCAUCCUAACUGUUGAGAUGAAGACCAAGUAGUGAAGGUAUGAAGCUUUAGGGUUCAAUGAAGUGAGAAAGUAACUUUGGAGUUUUUACCACAUUAACUUUUGAGUUUCACCAUUUCUGGAUAAAGGUAACUACGUUAAAGCUUGUGAAGUUACUUUGCAUCCAUUUGGAGAGGAAAAACAUCCAAGGGAAUUUGGAGAAGAUAAGGGGCACGUGGACAUGCUGUCUUGAGCUGGAAAGGAGAAUAUACUUUAUUACUGUAGAAAGCAUGUGUGAAACUAUAACCAAGCAUUUCAAAAGGACUUCCAGCAUGUCCAUUGACUCCCACAUGCUUAUGGAUUUCGAAAUCCCCUUUGUAUCUGCCUUAUCUCUUCAUAUAUAAUUUGUAUCUAAGACAUUAAAUUAAUUAGUGGAGUUUUGAAUAUUCUCUUUGUUCUCUCUCUACUUAUUCUCUUAAUCUCUUUAAUCUUACACAAAACAGUCUGAUUGUUCUUAAAUUUGUUUAAACACACUCUAAUACACAAAAGUGUAUAUGGUAUCAGAGCCAGGUUGCUAAAAGGGUGGGAGUGUGUUAAUCUUGUUUUAAAAAAUAUAGGUUUGUGUUCUUGGUGUUCUUGAGCUGUUCUUGAUGUUCUUGAGUGUUCAUGAUGGUUUUGAGCUCUGUUCUUCAUUUUCUGGGUUUGAUUGAGUUCAUCUGAUGGAAUCAAACGACUCUAGCAAAGAAAAGAAGACCAGAUCAAUUUAUCAAGUGAAGAAAGAAAGAGAAAACGAGUGGAUCUGGUCAGAUUUGAUGAAGACAACUUUGGAAAGCUGUGGGAUUUGGAGUAAUCAGAUAAAGGAUGAACCUUUAAAGGAGUUGGUUAUUUUUGAAGAUGAAGCUGUUCAAGAAAACACUAGAAAGAGUGGGAUUGAAGCAGCUUAUGAAGAAAGGUCCAAACUUGUGAAGGUCAGUGAAGACAAGAGGGUGAUAUGUGACUGGAAACAAGGAAAGGAUGAGCUUUAUCAGCUUGUGAGAAGGCUGAAAGAAGUGUGGGUGGAGCUUACAGCAAAGCCAGAGGUAAUUGAAGAAAGGAGAGGACAAGAUGUUAUCUUUAACUUUAUUGUGAAUGAGAUAUUUGAGCUUGUUCAAUACACUUGUGAUGUGUGUGUGAAGAACAAGAAAUCAAUUCAGUGGAAGGGUGGUACAAACUGUAAGAAGGGAAGGUAGAAAACUUUCCAAGGUAUGGUUCAUGAGGAGAAAGGCUUGGAGGAAGAACAGAGAGUCUGGUUAUGUGAGUGACGAGAUGAACUUAAAGAUGAUCAAGGAGGCUGCACAACAAGUGGUGAGAUGAGAGUGUUCUUACUCAGGCUAAAUGGGGGAAUCAGUAGAAGACAGUGUGGUGUUAAGAGAGCAGGAAAAUGAGGGUGGAGCUGAUGAUUGCAUCACCAUGAAGGAAUGGUGAGUGUUCAUGGAACAUGGACAAGCUUUAGCAGCAAGCAAGACACAUGGUGUACAAUCCGGAGCUCCUAAACCCUGUGUAAUUGAUUCUGGAGCAAGCCAUCAUAUGAUCAGUGAUAGGAGGAUUAUAAGUGAAAUCAAGGCUGCAACAUGGAGUGUUAUGAUAGCUAAUGGUGCUAUGAUCCCAAUAGAAGGAGUGGGAAAGCUCAAACUGUUUGAGAAGGACAAGACUGCCUUCUACAUGCCCCGGUUCACUUCAAAUCUGUUAUCGGUGAAGAAAACUACCAUUCAUCUCGAUUGUCAAGUAUUAUUCAGACCUGAUGAAGUUGAAUUUCAAGAUUUGAAGACUGGGAGAGUUAUUGGCAUAGGAGACAGCAAGAAUCAGCUAUACCAUCUUCAAAUGGCUAAGAAUUCUAAACCCUUUGAUUCUGUGUGCUUGAGUAGUGUUGUUGAUAGGUGUGAUAGUAUGACUUGUAAGUGAUUCAUGAUGGUUCGAUUGGAACGACGAAGAAGUUGUCUUAUUCCCAAACUGGGAAACUGGAACCACCUGAUUUGAAAGUGGGAUAACUUCGUCUUCGCAACUCCUAUGAGAUUUUUUCAACUUCCUUGUGAUUCUCCACCACUUUAUGUAUCCAAACCAAGCUUCUUACAAAGUGAUUCAUCCUGGUUCGAUUGGAAGACGAAGAAGUUGUCAUAUUCCCAAACUGGGAAACUGGAAUCCCCUGAUUUGAAAGUAGGAUAACUUCUUCUUCCCAACUCCUAUGAGAUUUAUUCAACUUCCUGGUGAUUCUCCACCAGUUUAUGUAUCUAAAUCAAGAUUCUUACAAAUUGAUACAUCAUGGUUGAAUUUGAACAACGAAGAAGUUGUCUUAUUCCCAAACUGGAAAACUGGAAUCACCUGCUUUGAAAGUGGGAUAACUUCUAAAUCCCAACUCCUAUGAGAUUUGUUCAACUUCAUAGUUAUUCUCCACCAUUUUAUGUAUCCAAAUCAAGCUUUUUACAAAGUGAUUCAUCAUGGUUUGAUUGGAACGACGAAGAAGUUGUUGUAUUCCCAAACUAGGAAACUAGAAUCACCUGAUUAGAAAGUGAGAUAACUUUUUCAUCCCAACUCCUAUUGUUAAACAAUAUGAAUGAGAUGAGGCAGGCUUGUGUUAUUAGAUAUAAGAGUGUUGAAGAAUGCAGAAGACAAGAGAGGAUGAGUUCGGGACGGUCGUACGACCAGGCCGAACAAGAGACCGUACCAUGGUAACUUUUGGAUCGACCAAAGUUAACUUGGAUCGUCCAUAAGUUACCCGGUUGAAGAGUAACUCGGCUUACCUUACCUUGGAGGCUCUUAUCUACAAUAAGACCGUUGGAUCAGAUGGAUAUGGCGUGGCUACAGCUAAGGACAGCCUGUAAAUUAAAAGCAAAAGGUGUCCAAGCAUGUGGCUAAUCCCAUUGGUUAUUUUUCCUAUAGUCUCUCAUCUUAUCCUUGACUUCACAUGCUUGUAUUUUGAAAUGCCCUAGCUCUCUCUCAUAUAUAUAUUGUACCUGGUCAUUAGUAAAAAAUAACACAAGAGUUUAUGAGUUUCUCUCUCAAGUUCAUCAUGAUUAUCUCAUACAAUUACUCGUAAACAUCUUAAUCUCUCUUAAACUCUCUUAAAUAUCUUAAUACCUUUCUUAUUCUGUAAAAUCAUAUGGUAUCACAGCCAGGUUGGCUUUGGUAUUGAGAUCUUGUGUUCUUCAGCUUCAUUCAAGUUUAUCUUUGUGUUCAGCGUAAAUCAAGAUGGGAGGCAACAGCAAGAUUGUUACGGUUCUGAUUUCACUCAAGGGUGGAGGAAACUACCUGUUGUGGUCAAGGCUGGUGAAGACAGCCAUUUGGAGGCUAGGGCUGUGGAGUCUCAUCACGGAUGAAGCUCCAAAGCCAGUGGCCGGUGAGGAAGAAGGUGGGAGAGAGCUCGCGGUUGUUGAUCAGAAGAAGUGGGUUCAAGAUGAUCUUAUGGUACUGUCCGCACUACAAGGGUCUCUUGAGGUUCAUCUAUUGGAAGCAUACAGCUAUUGCGAGACUCCUAAACAUCUGUGGGAGACACUCCAAAAGACAUUUGGGAACAUUACCAAUCUGAGCAGUGUGUUUGAAAUCAAGCGAGAUAUCAACAUACUUGUGCAAGAUGGAGAGAAGUUCACCAAGAAUUUGGGCAAGUAUAGAUCAUUGUGGUCUGAGCUUGAAACCUUGAGGCCUAGCACAACUUAUCAAGAGGUGCUGAUGGAGAGGCGUGAGCAAGAUCAAGUGUUUGGACUGCUGUUGACAUUGGAUUCUCCGUUCAAUGAUGUGAUCAAGCACAUACUGAGGUCGCCAAAUCUCCCAUCCAUGGAGGAGGUGUGUGCACAGAUUCAAAAGGAGGAGGGAUCUCUUGGUCUCUUUGGAAGUAAAGGAGACCUAUCAUUGGCCAAUAAGGCUGAGGAAGUGGCACUGGCAAACCGUGCAACAUACAGAUCAGAUGACAUGAAGUAUAGUGUUGAGAGGAGGUUUGGAGGCAACUGUGAUCACUGUAAGAAACCGGGAGACAAGAGGAGCCAAUGCUGGAUCCUACACCCACAUCUUAAGCCAGCCAAGUUCAACAAGGAUAGAGAGGCUAGUGCUAACCUGUCUGCUGAAGCAAGUGACGCCGGUCCAUCAGGAGCUGGCUCAAGUGAACACGCGGGUGAAAGCGCAUCAAGAGCCAUGGCCUCUCAUUACACGGCUGGGAAGAGCAUGGAACAUGAGGUGAUCAGGAAAUCCGACAUCGUUGCCCUCAUCAAAGCUCUUAAGGAGUCUGGUACAUUCGGAAACACUCUUGGAUACUCAUAUACUGCUCAUGCUAUGACUAAAUGUGAUAAUAGGUUGAUAGAUAUCAUUGAUGAAUUAAAACUUAGAAAUGAAUCACCUAGAACUCACAUUGUUCAAGGGAUAAAACCGUUGAUUGUAGAUUCAGGUGCUUCUCAUCAUAUGAUAAGUGAUGAUAGUCUUAUAAAAAACAUAGAACCACAUGGACAUGUAAUAAUUGCAAACGGGGAUAGAAUUCCUAUUAGAGGAUAGGAAACUUGAACCUGUUUGAUAAGAACUCUAAAGCCUUUUACAUGCUUGAGUUUACUUCUAACCUCUUAUCUGUUAAGAGAUGUACUACUGAUCUACAAUGCAAUGUUAUCUUCAGUCCUAAUGAUGUGAAAUUUCAGGAUAUUGGGAGCAGUAAGUUGAUUGGACAACGUGUAGCCAAGGGAGACCUUUACAUGCUUGAAGACAUUAAAUUUAUUUCUACUUCUAGUUGCCUGCUUAGUUAUGUUUCAAAUGGUGCAUUGUGGCAUUCUAGGUUAGGAGAUCCAGUUUAUGUAUCCAUAUCAAGCUUCUUACAAAGUGAUUCAUCCUGGUUCGAUUGGAACAACGAAGAAGUUGUCUUAUUCCCAAAUUGGAAAACUGGAAUCAACUGAUUUGAAAGUGGGAUAACUUCUUCUUCCCAGCUUCUAUGAGAUUUUUUUCAACUUCCUGGUCAUUCUCCACCACUUUAUGUAUCCAGAUCAAGCUUCUUAUAAAGUGAUUCAUCCUGGUUCGAUUGGAACGACGAAGAAGUUGUCAUAUUCCCUAACUGGGAAACUGGAAUCAACUGAUUUGAAAGUGGGAUAACUUCUUCUUCCCAGCUCCUAUGAGAUUUUUUUCAACUUCCUGGUCAUUCUCCACCACUUUAUGUAUCCAUAUCAAUCUUCUUACAAAGGGAUUCAUCCUAGUUCGAUUGGAACGACGAAGAAGUUGUCUUAUUCCCAAACUGGGAAACUAGAAUCAACUGAUUUGAAAGUGGGAUAACUUCUUCUUCCCAACUCCUAUGAGAUUUAUUUAACUUCCUGGUCAUUCUCCACCACUUUAUGUAACCAUAUCAGGCUUCUUACAAAGUGGUUCAUCCUAGUUCGAUUGGAACGAUGAAGAAGUUGUCUUAUUCCCAAACUGGGAAACUAGAAUCACCUGAUUUGUAAAAAGGGAUAACUUCUUCUUCCCUACUCCAAUGAGAUUUAUUCAACUUCCAGGUGAUUCUCCACCACUUUAUGUAUCCAAAUCAAGCUUCUUACAAAGUGAUUCAUCCUGGUUCGAUUUGAACAACGAAGAAGUUGUCUUAUUCUCAAACUGGGAAACUGGAAUCAACUGAUUUGAAAGUGGGAUAACUUCUUCUUCCCAGCUCCUAUGAGAUUUUUUUCAACUUUCUGGUCAUUCUCCACCACUUUAUGUAUCCAUAUCAAGCUUCUUACAAAGUGAUUCAUCCUGGUUCGAUUGGAACGACGAAGAAGUUGUCUUUUUCCCAAACUGGGAAACCGGAAUCAACUGAUUUGAAAGUGGGAUAACUCCUUUUUCCCAACUCCUAUGAGAUUUUUUUUCAACUUCCUGGUCAUUAUACACCACUUUAGGUAUCAAUAUCAAGCUUCUUACAAAGUGAUUCAUCCUAGUUCGAUUGGAACGACGAAGAAGUUGUCUUAUUCCCAAAUUGGGAAACUGGAAUCAACUAAUUUGAAUGUGGGAUAACUUCUUCUUCUCAGCUCCUAUGAAAUAUUUUUCAACUUCCUGGUCAUUCUGCACCACUUUAGGUAUCCAUAUCAAGCUUCUUACAAAGAGAUUCAUCCUAGUUCGAUUGGAACGAUGAAGAAGUUGUCUUACUCCCAAACUGGGAAAGUAGAAUCACCUGAUUUGUAAAAAGGGAUANNNNNNNNNNNNNNNNNNNNNNNNNNNNNNNNNNNNNNNNNNNNNNNNNNNNNNNNNNNNNNNNNNNNNNNNNNNNNNNNNNNNNNACUGAUUUGAAUGUGGGAUAACUUCUUCUUCUCAGCUCCUAUGAGAUUUUUUUCAACUUCCUGGUCAUUCUACACCAGUUUAUGUAUCCAUAUCAAGCUUCUAAAAAAGUGAUUCAUCCUGGUUCGAUUGGAACGACGAAGAAGUUGUCUUAUUCCCAAAUUGGAAAAGUGGAAUCAACUGAUUUGAAAGUGUGAUAACUUCUUCUUCCCAGCUCCUAUGAGAUUUUUUUCACCUUCCUGGUCAUUCUACACCAGUUUAUGUAUCCAUAUCAAGCUUCUAAAAAAGUGAUUCAUCCUGGUUCGAUUGGAACGACGAAGAAGUUGUCUUAUUCCUAACUAGGAAACUGGAAUCAACUAAUUUGAAUGUGGGAUAACUUCUUCUUCCCAGCUCCUAUGAGAUUUUUUUCAACUUCCUGGUCAUUCUCCUCCACUUUAUGUAUCCAUAUCAAGCUUCUUACAAAGUGAUUCAUCCUAGUUCGAUUGGAACGACGAAGAAGUUGUCUUAUUCCCAAACUGGGAAUUUGGAAUCAACUGAUUUGAAAGUGGGAUAACUUCUUCUUCCCAACUCCUAUGAGAUUUAUUCAACUUCCUGGUCAUUCUCCACCACUUUAUGUAUCCAUAUCAAGCUUCUUACAAAGUGAUUCAUCCUGGUUCGAUUGGAACGACGAAGAAGUUGUCUUAUUCCCAAGCUGGAAAACUGGAAUCAACUGAUUUGAAAGUGGAAUAACUUCUUCUUCCCUACUCCUAUGAGAUUUAUUCAACUUCCUGGUCAUUCUCCACCAC
rnacentral:lncRNA from 1 species